rnacentral:tRNA from 1 species
GUUUUAAUAAUUUAAUAAAAAUAUUGGUCUUGUAAACCAGAAAUAAGGAUUACCUUUUAAAACA